AACAACAAUUAUUUGUGUGACCGCCAGGCGCUGAGUAGAGCCCAGAGGUGGUGGUGGCGGUUUGUUUUUGUUUUGGGGAAAAGGGAACCCGUGCUAGAAUUAACUGAGUUAAUUGGCUCCUGGCAAAACAUUGACUCCCUCCUCUUGCCUUCCCUAAACUCGGUCCUGAGAGGAGGAAGGAUACUGCCUAGGCGCAGGCUGCACCUGGGGGAGGCUGGCUUCCCACACUCGUGCCUUUCCAUCGAAUAGGCUCCUUUCUUAGGCCUCUCAAAGUGGAACAAGGUCCUUCACUUACUUCUACGUGAGAAGAGCCACUCUGAGUGGACAGGCAGGACAGGCAGGUGGGGCCCAUUAUUCUUGGAUGAAGGAGAGAAUCACGUCCGCCACCUCUGACUACCUGCAUUAAGGAUGUAUACACAUCAGUUAUUCAAGAACACGUCUGCAAGUUGCCACCAUAACCAAGUGAAAAGUGAAAAACUGAGACAUCCAAGCAGUGGUUUGCAAACUGUUCUGUGGUCUUCAGGAGCAUUGGAGGUCUCGUGAAAUGUCUGAUUCAAACAGCCUUUUAAGAAAAUGCAUCUUUAUAUUUAAAGUUUAAUAAAAACAUCAAGAUAAUUAAAUGUAUUUUAUAUCAAAUGCUAACA
rnacentral:lncRNA from 1 species